GUAGUCUCGCACAGAUGCAUAUCAAUAAGCGGAGGAAAAGAAACUAACAAGGAUUCCCUCAGUAACGGCGAGUGAAGCGGGAAGAGCUCAAAUUUGAAAUCUUCAAGGUUUUACCUUGACGAAUUGUAGUUUAAAGAAGUGUUUUCUGCUGAAGUUUUGGUAAAAGUUCUUUGGAAUAGGACAUCAUAGAGGGUGAGAAUCCCGUAUUUGACCAUUAUUUUCAGCUUUGUGAUACACUUUCAAAGAGUCGGAUUGUUUGGGAAUGCAGUCCAAAAUGGGUGGUAAAUUUCAUCUAAAGCUAAAUAUUGGCGAGAGACCGAUAGCGAACAAGUACCGUGAGGGAAAGAUGAAAAGAACUUUGAAAAGAGAGUUAAACAGUACGUGAAAUUGUCAAAAGGGAAGCGUUUGACACCAGUGUUGUUUUCUCGAAAAUCAAUUAAAAAUGGCUCGACUUUGUAUUGCUGAGACCUUAAAAGCUCACUGUACAUUUUUCGUGUCUUUUUUAAUGCACUUUUCGUUUAACAAGUCAACAUCAGUUUCUUUUGUUGUAAAAGGGUCAUUGGAAGGUGGCUUUCUUUUCGGAGAAAGUGUUUAUAGCCUUUGGCCUCUGCAAUCGGAGAGACUGAGGUCUGCAGCGUAGACUCUUCGGGGUUAGAUACAUUUGUGCUAAGUUAUAGCUUUUCAUAGACAACUUGUUGACUAUAAUUUAGUCAUGUCGGCUUACUCGCUUAUGCUAUUUUACCUACGCUUAGGAUGUUGAGUCGUAGAGCACGCAG
rnacentral:rRNA from 1 species